GCUGGGCAUGGUGGUGUGUGCCUGUAGUCCCAGCUACUCAGGAGGCUGAGACAGGAGAAUUGCUUGAACCCAGGAGAUGGAGGUUGCAGUGAGACGAGAUCACGCCACUGCACUCCAGCCUGGGCAACAGAGCAAGACUCUGUCUCAA
rnacentral:SRP_RNA from 2 species